ensembl:lincRNA
GGACCGGACUCCCCAACUCCCCACCACCCCACUCCCCACCCACCAGGAGAGACCCUGCUCUCCCUUCUCCCAGCCCACACCCUCCUGCAGGCCCUUUCUGCGCUCCGGCCCCACCUUGCCUCCAGCUCCUGUUCCUUCACAGUUCUCCCUUGUACGCCUGACUUCUCAUCUCCUUCCAUCUGACUCCACCCUGUCCUUCCUAAAUCAUUCUCCAGACUCCAUGUCUUUCGGCAGCCAAAGGCCGGAGGAGCCCCUCAGAGCAGGGAGAUGGGAGCAGCCACAGAUGAAGUGCAGGCGUUCUUUAAGAGGCAAAGAGAGAUCCAGAGUCACCCCUUUUCUUCCCUGCAAGGACCCCACGCAGCCCUGGGCUAUGAUCCAUUUAUCAAGAGCUGCUGUGAGUGUGGGCAGAGACGCAGAACUGGUGCCAGGGCCUCAGAAACACUCGGGCAGCAUGAGAAGCCUCAGGAUGAGAGCAAGAGGAAGCUGCUCCAUCACUCGGUCUUCCAGAUUGGUUAUAUAUUCCCUGUCUUCUGGAAAGAAAGAGAGAGAAGACAAACCAACAAGAGAUCCUCCUGACUCCAUCCACCCUCAACCACAGGCCAGAGAAACUUUCCAAGAUGGGAAAUCACAGCUGAAGCCGGUUGUGUCGAUCAGAAAAUCUGGGUGUAAUGUCAUUAGAAAAACCAGAGUCUCCUCGCAUGAACCUUUGCCUGGAACCUCUCCCUGCCCCUUGGUCCAUGCGCUCCUCUCUGCCCAAGUCACAACAGCAGUCGACAGCUUGGAUGGAGCUGUACAGCGUGCUAAGCUAAGUACUCCUACGCCCAGCCCUGAGGAUGAGUUAUUGUCAGCUCCACCCAGCAGAGGCCAGACAGAGGCCCUGGGAGGCCGUGGGGGCUGACCACAGUUGUGCAACCAAUAAGGAAACUGAGGCUCAGAAAGGGUAAAUAAAUGACCUCACUUCACAUCAAUUAAGCAUUCAACCCAAGACAUCUGUGCCUUCUUCUCCGUCAUGCCGCCGCUAGCCUGCUCUGCGUCUGCUUGUGCCACGGACAUACCUGGUGAAGCCGAUGGGCCUCUUGUCAGACUGAAAAAUUAUGUGUUGUUUCUCCAAAAUGAAAUUGCCUGGGAGUCCCUUAUGCUACCUGGCACCCCUCCUGGAGGAGACCAGCUAUGGACCUGGCCUCGUGACCAGAGCCAGCUCUUUCUUUUCUCAACCUCAGUUUCCACCUGCAAGAAGUCAAUUUAAUUCUUUAAAAUCCACGUGUGUGAACUGGGCACCACCCACCAUGGGGCACAGCUGCCUGUAGGGUCUCGUAGUCUAAAGGUGGAGGCUGAAAUAUACGUAAGUAAGAGGCUGGGAAAGGGCAAAAAUGGCAGAGGAGGGUGGGAGUUGGGGACAGGUAAUUGGCAGGCUGCUGCUAGGGGAGCGGGGGCAGAGGGAGAUAGGAGGGCACAUGCAAGUGAGACUACAGCAGGAUCUCAAGGACGUGGAGAGGCAAACGCUGGGAGGACCUCCUGGGAUGGCAUGAGCAAGGCCCCCUGGGGAGGGUCCUGGUUCAACCUGGGAGUGGCAUGUGCAGCUGGAGGGCAGGGCACCUGGGGCUUGGGGUCUACCGAGACAGGGAGAAAGGGACGUGGCAUGAGAGAGAGGCAGAGGUCAGCUUGAAGGCCUUGAUGGCUCCAUUAGCAGGAGCGUGGCAGACUCCACUGGCCACCUGGGGCGCAGGUGGAAAUAGAGCCGCCAUGGCAAGGACACUGCUGCCUCAGCUUUGGGAGGAAAUGAGGCUGCGACUGGGCAGUUGGAAGGCAGCCUCCGAGGUGGACAGAGCUCUAGCUGGAGACAGGAGCCCUGGGUGGCUUUGCCAGUUACUCAGGGCAGGACUCUGGGCCACACUUGGCACAUACGAGGAACAGCCAGGAGCCAAUGUGGCUGGAGCAGAGUGCGUGUGCAGAGCAGGUCACACAGGGCCUUGUGGGCCCUUGGCAGGACUCUGGCUUGUAUCCUGAAGGUUCGUCAUCUGAGCAGAGCCUUGACAUGCUCUGAUUCAAGCACUAAAUGGAUAACUGCUCGGUGAGAAAAACAGACUUCGGGGGCAGAGCUUGUGCCCAACGCUGCCAGGCAGCACAUGUGGAAUACCAGGGAGCUGCACUGGCAGGGCCUCACCCUCAAAGCACUUGCAGUGUGUUGGGAAAAAAGACAAGGCAGCGUGGAGUAGCAGUUAGGAGCCAGGGCUUUCAAGACAGGCGAACCUGGGCUCGAGUUUCCCACUACUGCUUCCCAGCCUAGAAAGUUCUUUAAGUUCUCAGUGACCUCAACAGACACACAGUAAUGGCAGCACUCACCUGGGGGGAUCAUGGUGGGGUGCCCGCCACAUGUUCACUCUGCCCCUGCCCAAAGUGUGCUGAAAAAAAACAAAACAGUAGCUGCAGCCGUGGUUCAGAUCAUAAUGAGAGUAGCAUGCAGUGGGUUGUAGGGACGCAGGUGAGGAGUUGGCAAUGGUGGAGGGAGGCUAAGCCGGACCCAGGAGCUGGAGGAG